rnacentral:rRNA from 1 species
CGGGCUUAACACAUGCAAGUCGAGGGGCAUCAGGAAGAAAGCUUGCUUUCUUUGCUGGCGACCGGCGCACGGGUGAGUAACACGUAUCCAACCUGCCCUUUACUCGGGGAUAGCCUUUCGAAAGAAAGAUUAAUACCCGAUAGCAUAAUGAUUCCGCAUGGUUUCAUUAUUAAAGGAUUCCGGUAAAGGAUGGGGAUGCGUUCCAUUAGGUUGUUGGUGAGGUAACGGCCCACCAAGCCUUCGAUGGAUAGGGGUUCUGAGAGGAAGGUCCCCCACAUUGGAACUGAGACACGGUCCAAACUCCUACGGGAGGCAGCAGUGAGGAAUAUUGGUCAAUGGGCGCUAGCCUGAACCAGCCAAGUAGCGUGAAGGAUGAAGGCUCUAUGGGUCGUAAACUUCUUUUAUAUAAGAAUAAAGUGCAGUAUGUAUACUGUUUUGUAUGUAUUAUAUGAAUAAGGAUCGGCUAACUCCGUGCCAGCAGCCGCGGUAAUACGGAGGAUCCGAGCGUUAUCCGGAUUUAUUGGGUUUAAAGGGAGCGUAGGUGGACUGGUAAGUCAGUUGUGAAAGUUUGCGGCUCAACCGUAAAAUUGCAGUUGAUACUGUCAGUCUUGAGUACAGUAGAGGUGGGCGGAAUUCGUGGUGUAGCGGUGAAAUGCUUAGAUAUCACGAAGAACUCCGAUUGCGAAGGCAGCUCACUGGACUGCAACUGACACUGAUGCUCGAAAGUGUGGGUAUCAAACAGGAUUAGAUACCCUGGUAGUCCACACAGUAAACGAUGAAUACUCGCUGUUUGCGAUAUACAGUAAGCGGCCAAGCGAAAGCAUUAAGUAUUCCACCUGGGGAGUACGCCGGCAACGGUGAAACUCAAAGGAAUUGACGGGGGCCCGCACAAGCGGAGGAACAUGUGGUUUAAUUCGAUGAUACGCGAGGAACCUUACCCGGGCUUAAAUUGCAGUGGAAUGAUGUGGAAACAUGUCAGUGAGCAAUCACCGCUGUGAAGGUGCUGCAUGGUUGUCGUCAGCUCGUGCCGUGAGGUGUCGGCUUAAGUGCCAUAACGAGCGCAACCCUUAUCUUUAGUUACUAACAGGUUAUGCUGAGGACUCUAGAGAGACUGCCGUCGUAAGAUGUGAGGAAGGUGGGGAUGACGUCAAAUCAGCACGGCCCUUACGUCCGGGGCUACACACGUGUUACAAUGGGGGGUACAGAAGGCAGCUAGCGGGUGACCGUAUGCUAAUCCCAAAAUCCUCUCUCAGUUCGGAUCGAAGUCUGCAACCCGACUUCGUGAAGCUGGAUUCGCUAGUAAUCGCGCAUCAGCCACGGCGCGGUGAAUACGUUCCCGGGCCUUGUACACACCGCCCGUCAAGCCAUGGGAGCCGGGGGUACCUGAAGUACGUAACCGCAAGGAUCGUCCUAGGGUAAAACUGGUGACUGGGGC